UAUUAAGACAUCACUGGAUUAGGAAGGC
rnacentral:piRNA from 1 species